CCUACGGGAGGCAGCAGUGAGGAAUAUUGGUCAAUGGACGAAAGUCUGAACCAGCCAAGUCGCGUGAGGGAAGAAGGUCCUACGGGUUGUAAACCUCUUUUGUCGGGGAGCAAAGCGAACCUCGUGUGUUUCAUUGAGAGUACCCGACGAAAAAGCAUCGGCUAACUCCGUGCCAGCAGCCGCGGUAAUACGGAGGAUGCGAGCGUUAUCCGGAUUUAUUGGGUUUAAAGGGUGCGCAGGCGGGGGUGCAAGUCAGCGGUCAAAUUGCGGGGCUCAACCCCGGACUGCCGUUGAAACUGCAUGCCUUGAGUGAGCGAGAAGUAUGCGGAAUGCGUGGUGUAGCGGUGAAAUGCAUAGAUAUUACGCAGAACUCCGAUUGCGAAGGCAGCAUACCGGCGCCCGACUGACGCUGAGGCACGAAAGCGUGGGGAUCGAACAGGAUUAGAUACCCUAGUAGUC
rnacentral:rRNA from 1 species